rnacentral:misc_RNA from 1 species
UCUCCGUAGGUGAACCUGCGGAGGGAUCAUUACAGAGUUCAUGCCCUAACGGGUAGAUCUCCCACCCUAUGUUAUCAUCACUUUGUUGCUUUGGCGGGCCGUCAGGCCUCGGCUUGGCUACCGGCUCUCGCUGGUAAGCGCCCGCCAGAGAGCCCCAAACCCUGAAUAUCAGUGUCGUCUGAGUACUAUAUAAUAGUUAAAACUUUCAACAACGGAUCUCUUGGUUCUG